rnacentral:tRNA from 1 species
GGUUGUAGUUCAGUGGUGGAAUGCUUGCCUUGUAUGUAUGAAGCACUGGGUUUGAUUCUCAGCACCA